UGCAUCCUACGGGACGCAGCAGUGAGGAAUAUUGGUCAAUGGCCGAGAGGCUGAACCAGCCACGUCGCGUGAGGGAUGACGGCUCUACGGGUUGUGAACCUCUUUUGUCGGGGAGCAAGACCCGCCUCGUGCAGGCGGAGCGAGAGUACCCGAAGAAAAAGCAUCGGCUAACUCCGUGCCAGCAGCCGCGGUAAUACGGAGGAUGCGAGCGUUAUCCGGAUUUAUUGGGUUUAAAGGGUGCGCAGGCGGACCAUCAAGUCAGCGGUAAAAUCGUGGGGCCCAACCCCAUCCCGCCGUUGAAACUG
rnacentral:rRNA from 1 species